UCUGUGUUCAUUUAUAUGAUAAUACUAAUUAUGUUUAAUUGUUUGAAGGGGAAAAAAAGAGAGAGAGUAGGAGGGGACAAGACAAACCGGUGAGAGCUUGUAAGUUAUUUUCGAUUUCACGGCAAGCCAUGACAGCUUCAACGGCAUGGACUCUGACAUGUUGUUGAAGCUGUUCUUUGAAAGUACAUAACACUAUUAAAUAUUGUGCC